rfam:Gossypium arboreum cultivar AKA8401 contig_24088_1, whole genome shotgun sequence.
UGUCCACAAAAAAUUCAUCCGUUUCUACUAUUAUAAACUAGUUUGACUAACAAAAUAACUAAAUAGUUACACGUCGCAUGCCACAUGUACCUCAUGCUGACAUACAGGGCAAUUUUUAAUUGUAGAAAUAGAUGAAAUUUUUAACA